CUUAUAUACGUAAUUAAGGUAGAAAUAUAUUCUACACAACACAAGAAAUACAAUUCUAUUACAUACAUAUGUAAGUCGUAAUAUUGUCUGGUUGACAGACACAAAUGCAUGUAUGUACAUAUGUAAUACAUAUGUAUGUAUAUUUCCACCAAAAUGUAAGAGUUAAGACACACAUACCAACAACUACUCAGCGCGUUAAGGAAUACUUAGAUACCCUUAUUUAUAGAAAUGACAUUGGAAAAAAUUGUAUAUAAGAAGGUUAAUAACUUACAGCACUGAUCCAUUGGUCAAAUAUCCUAUCUGUCGGGCUGCUUGCAAGUUGCAAGGUUCUUACACGAUGAUUUUAAGUUGUAUACCUCCAUAUCCAUAUCUCCAAAUUUUACAUACAUACAUAUACAUAUGUCGUAUGUAUUUUUCACAUAAUUUUUGCACGGUUUUCUAAGGAACGUAAAAAACAGAGCAACUGCAAUACUCAAGCCUUAUAAUUGAAUCAUGUGAAAAUGAAAAAGUAGGACAAUACUUGGGGUAAUUGUGACUGUAAUCAAUAGCUAGAGCACUAGACAAAUAAAUUUAAAAUCGUUUUGCUCUGGACAAAAGAUGGAACCAGAUGCGGAUGCAAAGUCGCCACCAAUAACAGCUCAACCAGAGAAUGAAAGACAGCAAGAAGAAAGUGGAUUGCGCAAUAUUUACGCCAUCACAUAAAGAUGGUGGCUGUACCAUAAACAACAGUGGAAUGGUGACUAUGGAGAAACUGCUGCCUCCGCAAAUGCGACAGCACGCUGUAGCGGUUGGGCCCGCAUAACUACAGGCAAAAUGUACUGAAAUGUGGGCGAGCCUAAGCGUAGCAGCCACAGAGGGCAAAGUCAAAAACUACUCAUAGUAUUGGAAUGCAAUUUCACUUUUUUAAAUAAUUUUUCAAUAACUGUGCGUUUCUUGUAAUCUUUUUGAGUACACACCAUAAUAUGUUAUAUAUACAUUGUAUGUAUUUGUUCAGAGCAUUCAUGUAAAACAUGGCUAACGAUUCUAAUUUAACUACAAAUAGCAACAAAUAAGUAAGAAUAGUGUGGUCGAGCAUGUUUGACCAUAAAAUACUCCGUGCCCCUCAGUUAACAUUAUAUUUUGGUUUUUAACACCACUUUAUAUUCGUAGAACACACAUAAUGCGAUUUUUUAUCCAAAUUUAACACU
rnacentral:sRNA from 1 species